rnacentral:rRNA from 1 species
AGGAGGCAGCAGUGAGGAAUCUUGCACAAUGGGGGAAACCCUGAUGCAGCGACGCCGCGUGAGCGAUGAAGCCCUUCGGGGCGUAAAGCUCUUUCGGCCCGAACGAUAAUGACGGUACGGGAAGAAGAAGCUGCGGCUAACUACGUGCCAGCAGCCGCGGUAAUACGUAGGCAGCAAGCGUUGUUCGGAGUUACUGGGCGUAAAGAGUGCGUAGGCGGUGUCGAAAGUUUGGCGUGAAAUCUCCCGGCUUAACUGGGAGGGUGCGCCGAAAACUGCGACGCUGGAGUGUGGGAAAGGCAAGCGGAAUUCCUGGUGUAGCGGUGAAAUGCGUAGAUAUCAGGAGGAACACCGGCGGUGUAGACGGCUUGCUAGACCAUAACUGACGCUGAGGCACGAAAGCGUGGGUAGCAAACAGGAUUAGAUACCCCGGUAGU